rnacentral:rRNA from 1 species
ACGCUGGCGGCGUGCCUAACACAUGCAAGUCGAGCGAUGAAGUUUCCUUCGGGAAAUGGAUUAGUGGCGGACGGGUGAGUAACGCGUGGGUAACCUGCCGUAUGCUGGGGGACAACAGUUGGAAACGACUGCUAAUACCGCAUAAGCACACAGUAUCGCAUGAUACAGUGUGAAAAACUCCGGUGGCAUACGAUGGACCCGCGUCUGAUUAGCUAGUUGGUGAGGUAACGGCUCACCAAGGCGACGAUCAGUAGCCGGCCUGAGAGGGUGAACGGCCACAUUGGGACUGAGACACGGCCCAAACUCCUACGGGAGGCAGCAGUGGGGAAUAUUGCACAAUGGGGGAAACCCUGAUGCAGCGACGCCGCGUGAGUGAAGAAGUAUUUCGGUAUGUAAAGCUCUAUCAGCAGGGAAGAAAAUGACGGUACCUGACUAAGAAGCCCCGGCUAACUACGUG